GGGCCCAUAGCUCAGUUGGCUAGAGCGCUUCCAUGGCAUGGAAGAGGUCGCAGGUUCAAGCCCUGUUGGGUCCA
rnacentral:tRNA from 1 species